UACGGGGGGAGCAAGCGUUGUUCGGAUUUACUGGGCGUAAAGGGCGCGUAGGCGGCGUGACAAGUCACUUGUGAAAUCUCCGGGCUUAACUCGGAGCGGCCAAGUGAUACUGUCGUGCUAGAGUGCGGAAGGGGCUACUGGAAUUCCUGGUGUAGCGGUGAAAUGCGCAGAUAUCAGGAGGAACACCGGUGGCGAAGGCGGGUCUCUGGGCCGAUACUGACGCUGAGGAGCGAAAGCGUGGGGAGCGAACAGG
rnacentral:rRNA from 1 species